AUUACAAGUUCUGAAGAAAUCAACAACGGCUUGCUAGAAUAGCAGGUCAUGAGGUAUCAGUUAAAUCCUCACUUGAUGGUCCCCCUCCAUGUCCCAUGUUCAGAAUCUGUUUCUGGAUUGCUGACUCCCUUGCCUUCUGUACCUAUCUUGAUUCUUUGCCAGGUCUGUUCGGACGUCACAGGUGGAUUCUGUUGUUUUUGCAUUGAAGCAGACUGCCUGACCUAGACUUGCCACCCCUCAAAGAGCAGAAGCCCCUGGUGUUAUAGUUCUAUUAACUCAGUUGCUUUAAUAUAGAAAUUUUCAACCUGGGCACAGAAUGUGUUGGGUUCCACAGGAAGACUGAAUUUCAAAAACCACAAACAACUGGCUAAUUUAAACAGUGUAAGUAUUGCAUUUAAACCACAAUAUUUCAAAUGAAUCCAUGGUGAUGCAGAAUUCUUGCCCAGCUUUGAAGCCUCUUAUUAGAAAUUCUUCUUGCUUAGAUCUCAUGGCACUCCUUCUAAUGCACACUAGAAUGUCUGGUGUACCAAGUCACUGUGGAACCACUACUUGGUUGGAUUGCUGGUGAUAAGGGAAGUUGGAGGAGAGAGCCCUUUCUUUACUUUCCUAUUCAUCCACUUCUCAAUGAAGCUGUUUCCCUCUCACCUUGAGAUAUAUAAAAAGAUGUGGAGAAGCGAUGUGUUGGGAGGGACCUCUUCCAACCUCAUAAUCCUUCAACGAAGGCACUUCAAUAUUGAGAAAGGGAAGAAGAGCCCAACCCCUUAGUACUUCCUCCCUUGCACAUUAAACUCAAUGAGCAGAUAAUGCAGCAACAUCCUAAUACUGCAAUCCUGUAGAUGUUGACUCAAAAGUAAAUGUAACUGAGUUAAUUGGGACUUACUCCCAAGUAAGUAAUGAUGCCUAUUUAUUAUAGGUUCUAUUAGGAUAUGUUUUCUGAAUAAUAAUGGUGCUACCUGUCCUUUUGUGCUCAACUUCAACCCUGGGGAUGCAGUCUACUAGGGUGACUUAAGCUGCUUCUAAGUGAUAUUAAAAUAUGUGAUUUCAUAAUUUUUUGCAAUGUCUAGGAAAACAGAGUCACUGCAUUUUGAUAUACAGUAUGAAUAUUAAAUUUUAAAUUGGUCUAUUUCAAGGAGAGUAUCUGUGCUUUGUCUUUUUUACUUGAUGAGUCACAUCAGUGCAGUCAAAUGGACAAGCAAAACUUGCUUGGAGCUAGGAUACGUGCAUUUACUUUGAAGAAAGUCUAGCUUUUACCUUACAGAUCACUUGAAAGAUUUUUCUGCUUUUCCUUGCCCGUUGAGAAUAUUAUUGUUUGAAAACAGAAAGAAAAACCAGUCUGGAUCUUAUUUCGAUUUUUUAACAAAUACUUUUAAAAAAAUCUCCAGGAAGAUGCUUGUUGGCAGGACUGUACGUGAAAGAUUGCAGUGAUAUUAAGGUUCUCAAAAGCUAUGGGGGCUGCUAGAAUAAAGAAUAAAACUACGUGGAUUCUAUUUGAUGUGGAAAUUAAUACUGUACCAUGUGGUGUGAUACAUUAUUGGUUCUUCAGAAGUUAAAGUGGAGAAGUGGAGUUCAAUAAAGGAGGGGACAUUUCUUGAGGGAGGGGCACUUUAAUUUCUAUUUCAACAUGGCUACUGGUCUUUUACCAUGUACAGUGGUACCUUGGUAGUCAAACGGCUUGGCUCCUGAACAAAUUGGCUCCCACACCGCAAACCUGGAAAUGAGUGUUCCAGUUUGCGAAUGUUUUUUAGAAGCUGAACCUCCCACGCAGCUUCUGCGGCUUUUGAUUGAGUGCAGGAAGCAGAGUUGGUGGUGAGCACAAAUAUUGGCCGUAUUGUAUCUAUCUGUGGAUGGUAAUAUUUUGCCUAUGUAACUUUUUUUUUGGAAUGGUGGAGCAGUCAGGAGUGGCACUGUCAAGGCAUGGGCUUAUCUGAUUUUGAGAGAACCAGGUCCUAUUUUAGAAUUUUGUGAGAUGAGCUUUUAACUACUGCAGGUAAAAUCCCCUUUAUUUCUGGAAUAAGGUGUAAAUUAAGGAUCUGUUUCAAGCAAUGGCUGGGGUAUUACAUGCAAAAAUCUGCAACUGGACUUACAUUCCUUGUUAGAUGCUCUUAUUGGUUUAAGUGCUAAUUACCAUGCUGGGCUGACAGAAUCUAUGAAUAGUGGUAAAUACUUCAUUUUCACAUCUAUGUUUUUGGAAGUGCAGCCUUAACAGAUAGGAGUACCUUACAGAGAAAUGCACUUUCCACACAUGUGAUGAUUAAAUUUGCUGCAGAGCAUCCUAUUAAGCGAAGAGGGAUUAAAAUUUUAGAUUCUCAGUGCACUUUGAGAUUUUUAAACUUGGAUUUAAUAAAGUGUCAUAAAUAUUUACAAGUGGUGAAACCAUCAUUUUUGUUUAUAUUUAUGCAUGGGAAAAAGAUCUUUUAACUGCGUUCCUAUUCUAGGAUUUGUCAGUUAGAUUUAAAUGAGCAUUAUGAAACAUAAGUCUGGAACUGUAAAUUUCAUUUGCUUGAUGCUAUUUUCUGUUUAUCCUUUUUUAUUAGUUCCAGAAUUGCACUGUGCUGGUAAUACAUUGCCACUGUAAACUUUAUAUAUGUUAAUUUCAAGCACCACUUAACUGCUGGCAACUUUCUUUAGGGAGCAAAGUAACUACCAAAAAUACAAUCUCCUGAUAUUAUCAAGAGAAGCUAGAAGCCUAUUUUACAAUUCCUAUGGUUAGAGAACUACAUAAGUAGCUCUUUGUGCCCAGCCUGGCAUUUGGUGUCCCACCUCCCUCAAAAACAAACAAGCAAAACAAAAAACAAAACAGCAACAGCCUACUAUGCUACAUUAUAAGAAGAAGUGUACUAUAAAUUAGGGAUGUGUGAGAAAUUCAGUCUUUGCUAAUUACAGUACAAACUGACCAGAUCUAUACCUCCUGGACUCAUGUGUAGAUUAGAACCUAGCUGCCUCUGAGAUUUAGCACUUCUCUGAACUGGAUGCUUUGAGAAUGGUCAAGGGUCACAGAUCGCUCACAUGAACUUUAGGGGCGAUACCACUCUAUCCAGAAAAGGCUAGGCACUAUUCUCCAGUAAAACUUCCACCAUCAAGCUCUCCAUCUGAUCUGGAUAGUGUUUCAGUUUCAGACAUGGAAGAGCAUUUAGUCAUAUACAGUAAGCUCCCAUGUCUUAUCUGAAGUGGCACAGCCCAAACACAAACUUACCUCCCCACCUGUGAACUAGGCUGAAGAGGAAGCUUUUCUGUGGCUGGUUCCAUUUUGAAGAGGGUGUUUUCUAAUAAAAAUGAAUGGCUAGCUUUUGCGGGGUAGGUAUUCAAAACCUGCUCUUUCUUGCAUUUCCCCACCAAGGGGUCAGAAAAGUAGGCGAUAGGACCACUUAGAGCCCUACUUUUUUUUUACUGAGCCAGUGAGUCAAAAGGUGGUUAGCCUGAGAGAUAAGAUGAAAACUCUCUAUAACUGUUCCACUUACAGUGUUCCAAGUGUUCCAAGACAAGGACUUAAGGGUUAUUAGGAAAAGAAUAGAAAAUAAAACUACCUUUGCUCUAAUGCUCAUAUACAUUUCUGUUUGUUCUGAUUUUUCUUUAAAAGGAUAUUGUGAGGACAACUAAAGGACAACCAAAAUAACCAGGAGGCUUGGACACCUUUCCUAUGAACAAAGGUGCUCUUUAGUAUUUCAGACUUUUUAGAUUGGAAAAUUGUUGGUGGAGAUGUGACCAAGCUGUAUAAAAUACAUGCAUGUACCGGACUGAUGAAAGAGGGAUAUUUUUGUCCCUCUCUCAGUACUGAACUCAGGAUCAUCCAAGAGAGAACUGUUUGGCAGGAGAUUCAGGGGCAGACAAAAGGAAGUACUUAUUCACACAGUGAGUCUUUGAUUUAUGGAAUACCCUGCUACAAGAAGUUGAUUAGGGCUGUUAGAUCAAGUGACUGUAAAAGCAAAUUAGGCAAAUUCAUGAAUAGGUUUAUCUAUGACUACAUCCCACCUCUAGGCUGGCAAACAGUGCUUGACUAGAUGAACUUUUUGUCUCAUCCAACAGAGUUUUUAUAUUUUAUAAGGAUAAAAGUUAUUGGGACUGGGAAUCUGUAAAACUUGUUCUUCAUAAUCUUAAUACAAUCCUGGUCUUUAUUUAUUGUUGUCGUACAUUAAUUUACUUAUAUCCCAGACUUCCUUCAAGAAGUUAAUCACAGAUUACAUAUGGUUGAACAUUUCCAAAGUAGAAAGCUUAAAGGUUCAGACCUGAUCAGUUUCAGCAGUAGAACUAUAUAUUAUGCUUUCUGAGCAUUCUCUUUUCUUGAUAUUAAAUAAAAAUGUCUCUCCUUUUCUCAUGUGAAAGAUUUCCCCUCUCAAGGCCUAGGCCAAUGUUGUCCUCUCAACUUGUAAAUUGCUUAAAUAUUGGAUUGCACCAUCUAAAUUUGGUAUGAUAUCUGUGUUCAGGGUUUCUCAAUUAUUAUAUAAUACUUUGCAAAUUAACUUUUGCAUCAUAUUCUGGAAUCUAGGUUUAAAACAGCAAAAUACUUUGUCAGGUGAGUGUCAGAAUUUGACUGCCUAGACUUUUCUUGUAUGCACUUAUAAAGAUGGAAAUAUUAAGAACUUACAUGAACAGGUUUUCACUGUGGAAGAUCUAGAUACUUCAGCAGGUAACACAUAACUGAAAUCUUUUUGUAGUUGUCAAAACAAGCAGCUCUAACUUUGUACAUUUUCUGUUAAAACUAAAAGCACUAUGACAGUCGGAAUCCUGGUUAAAUCAAUAUAAGAAGCAAACAGACUUUCCUUUUACUUCCAGGAUUCAUUAAGAGUUUUGACAUGUCUGAAGUGCCUCUUCAAAACAUUUCUGUGUCACUAAGGGCCUCUUCUCAUGAGGUAUUUUGUACUUUGGAGCAGAAACAGAGGUCAAAAUAUAUGCAUCCUGUGUUAAGUUUAAAGUCCACAUACAGGUUUCAGGCAUAGCUUUUCCCACACAGUGAGGAUGGCAGGAAAGGUUCCCUACUGCAGUGUAUUCUAAAGGGGAAAGCUGGUGGGGUAAGAAGCAUUAUCUUUUUUAUAACUGGCCACCUACUUGUAUGUUGUACCUAGGUAUGUAGACCAAGGACCAAAAUGCCUUGUUCAUAUAUCUUGUGAGAAAUGUCCCUCAUUUUAAAGAUCUCAAUUUGGCAUUUUAGUGAAAGAGAUCUAUUUGCUGUAUGCAGAUACAGUAUUUCGAUGUCUGGAUAGCUGACCAUAUGGAGCAAAUCUGCACUUUUUAUUGUUGUUUAUGAAAUAUUUCCUAUGCCGUCAGAGCCUCCUAAGGAGGUGGGAAACAAUGAGAAUGUUAACCCUACUGGCUGCUGGGUGACUGUCAUUGUUUGUAGUCUACUUGACAGUUCUCAGUUUUGUUGAUGCGUGGAACAGCAUUGUCCUGAUGUCUAAAGUCACUCACAAUUAGCCUGAACUAUAGAAGCUGCCAGUUUGGGCCUGGCUUAGAUAGACAAAGUAGACAGAAGUGACCUGAUAUUUGCUUUUCAGUCUUUCAAAAUUACCAUCGAUUUUUGUCAACAGAAUGUAUUUAUCUGAGGAAAAAAUAAAACAGCACUUGAAAGACAUUUAGUCCAGUAUUACAGGCUAGUGUUUAGCAUGCUGCUGAAAUCUGUCUUUACAGAUACUCCACACUGUUACUGUAUUUUCACAUACACACACACACACACACACACACACACCGAACUAUCCAGCUCUAUGAAUUCACAGAGGAAGCAGGCAGUAUCCAGUCCCAAGUCCCAACUCCAAUCCAAGUCCAGCAGAGAGCAUACAGGACCUCGGACAGUUCCAAGGGUCCCCUGGUAAAGCAAUUCUAAGAGAGAUGAUGUCUCUGAAGACAGCUAGAACUAAUUGAAGCCUUAUGUAGGCUAGUCAGGCUUUGCCUCCCUGGAGAAGCUAGCUGGUUGGGUAAAGGACCCUUGCCUUAUUUUUUGGCCUUUGGCUUCUGUGAGACUGAGGAGACAGGUACCACAGGGGGCGGUAUCCUCUGUGUCAGCGGAUGGUGGUAGGAUUGUGACUUCUAGCUGGAAGUGCCCUGAAUAAGGUGUUGGAGGUUCUCUCCCUGAAGAAGUAGCCUGAAUCUCAUUCGAGUCCACCACAGUGAAUUGCAAGAUCCGUGGGUUGAGGGUCCUGACACAAAUGCAGACCUGCACUAAUUUUGGAUGUACUUCCUUCACUACUGUGUGCAAUUUUAUAGCAAGUAAGAGUGUUCUUAUAUCACAGUGAUAAAGAGUGAUACUUAUAUUGAAUAAUUUUUUUCUCCCUUCCAGUAGCACCUUAGAGACCAACUAAGUUUGUUAUUGGUAUGAGCUUUCAUGUGCAUGCACACUUCUUCACAUACUUACAUUACAGUGAUUGUAGGAAUAAAAGUGCGUGGCAGGAAGCGGUUUUAGAGACCAGCAGAGAACAGGAGCUAUUUUCAAUCUCCUGUGGUAUCAUUUCAAAGUGCGUAGCAACAAGUAUUGCAUAGGCUGUGUUUUCAGGUUUUUUUAAUUUGACUUAUGCAGAUAAGGUUUUAUGGUUAGUUUCUUUCUUACAGCAUCACUUUGUUCAUCUAUCAAAAUUUUGAACAUUAAAACAAGCUUUGGCUGGCAAUUUGAUACGGUGAUUGACAUCACUAUGCUAAAAUAGUAAAUAAAAUUAUCCCAAGCCUCUAAACCUACAGUAUGUCUGCAGACAUACUCAUCUUGUUUUUUGGGUGCUUUUAUGCUUUGUGAGGCACCUUGAACUUUUUAAGGACAGAAAAGCAGGAUUGUUUUUAAAAAAAUAAAAAUAAUAUACAGCACAUAAGCAUACCUAAUAUAAUCAUACACUUUGUUCUUUAGAAGUUGCUGGCCACUUCUAAGCUAUCAAUGUGAGUUGUUGUUGUUUUUAGAUCACAGAUGUCUAUAUCAACCCCUGAUCAUCAGGAAAUAUACAUUUAACUAGUUUUGUAAAUGGAAGGAAAUUAGCUUUCGAAGAUGGUGGUCAGCCUAAACCAAGCCAGAUAACACUUUCAGUAUAACCAGCCAAUUACAAACAAUAUUUUUGACUUUUCAUUUUAAUUUUGUCAGGUUGCUUCCUUGUUAUUUGAAAAUUCCAGGCCUUUCCUUGGACAUUAAUGUGGCUGCAGAGAUCAAAGCUACACAAUAGUAACUGAGUUUUGGUUGCCAUUAUUUUCAUAUUGUUGGCAAUUAGAGGAUUUGUAUUAAUAUGCCCAGUUUUUGUAUGUAGUUUCAAGUACAUUGGAAUGCAAUUCCACAUAUACAUGCUACUUCCCUGUUAAUUCUGGACCUGCAGAAAUCACUUGAUUUUGGGUGUAAUCAUACAAUUUAUAUAAAACUUACCCUGUUGUGGCCCUGCCAUGCCAAUAAUGUUCAAGGCAUGUAUAAAUGAAUAAAAGAACUGUAAGUGUGCAGCCCAGACUGUGCUUUGGAUCAUGUCAAAUUAUACCCACCAUAUACUGGGGAUGGUAGUGGGGUUCGCCAGCACAUGAGUCUAUACUUUAUCUACUAGGCUGCAAUUGCACCGAGAUAUAUGAUCUGCCAAAAUGUAUCUGUUUGAAAAAUGGGUUCGCAGUAUGUGAAAAUUCCAAAGCUCUGGAAACCAGGUAUAAAGUUCACAGAAUUGUUACUAGGUGACCCUCAUCCAACCCUAUAGUUCUAUAAUUCUAUGACUCUAUGUAGCUGAGGAAGAACUGGGUCAUUUGAAGAUGAACAUGUAAGACCACACGUGCUCAGUCUGGACAAAGUAACUAAACACAUCAUUUAAAAACUGAAAUGUAAAGAUUUCUUCUGAAAUUGCUAUAAAUGCUAUUACCAUGUGCUUGACUAGGAUGCUAUUAUGAGCUUGCAUAUGAUGUUGUUGAUUGAAAUAUUAAAAACAAGUACAUCAAAACUUAUGAGGAACAUUCCAUUAGUGUCUCAGUUUAUGCUGACCCGCAAGAUAAUGUCUAAAAUUUAUAUUAAAAAAACAUUUUUAUAUUAAAAAAACAUUCUGUAAGAUUGCAGAAAGGCAUAUAAAUUAUGCCCAACCUAACUAAAUUUAACAAAUUGUUACUUCUUCCUACUACAGACUGUGCAGAUCCCAAUAGCAGUUGACAAAAUUUCACUUCCAAAAGCUGCACAAAGUAUUUAAUAAGCAUUUCACAUCAAGAAAGCAUAACAAAUUUGGUGUUUUAAUCUAUACUGUGAUUGUAUACAAAAUCAACUGAUUGUGGCAGGUGUGCCACCUACUUCCCACCCACUGAUAUUACCAGAAACCGGUGUUCUGCAUUAUUCACCUGUGACAAACCCAGGCCAUGUAUCCCCACCUUCCUUUCAAGAAGGAAAAGGCUGGGAGGUGUUUUGCAUAUUUAUUCUUGGGUAGCCCUCCUAUUCCUGGGUAGUCCCCCCUUUUAAAGCACAUAGAUCUGUAUGAGAAACAGUGACUUGCAGUAUCUGUAGUGAUGUGAGAUGGACAGACACUUUUAGCACUCUGAACUUUGAUUUUAGGCUGCUAGUGACCUCUCCUCAAGAACCUGUAGCCUGAGCAAAUUGUUAGUUCACUGGAUGAGGUUAGAUCCUGUGGCUAGGAAAAACCUGACUUCAGUGUUCAAAUUGAAAGAAAAUAUUUAAUUGAGGCUGAAGGAAAUAACAAAUUAGUGAUAAAAGAAUACCUACCACAUUGUUUAGCCUCUGAAUAUAGUUUUUAAGUGGUGCAACUUACAGGGAGCUUCUUUUCCCCUCUUAUCAGAUGCUCGAUACGGAUUUGGUGAAGUACAUGCUUGCUUCCUUGCUUUUGAGAUCAUGGAAACAGGAGUCAUUGGACAGAAAGGGAGCAGUCUGAAAAGAAACAGGCCAAGAGUUUUGCUGACAUGGCUCAGGGACUAAAUAUUAGAGAAUAGAUGAAGCAGUACUGAGGUGGGAAAAGGCCUCUCAACUGCUAUUUCUAGCCCUCUGCUAAGUGCUGUUCUGGACAGGCUACUGAGUUUGCUUAGAGUGUUUGAGCUAUGGUUUUUCUUUUAAAGCAAGGGAAACUGUAGCUUUCCAGAUGUUGUUGGUCUUCAACUCCCAUAAAGCCCAGCUGGUAUGUCCAAUGAUCAGGAAUGAUGGGAGUUGUAGUCCAAUGUCCAAAUACAUCUGGAGGGCCACAUGUUUCCUGUCCUUGUUGUUUUAAAAGAAAAUGAGAAUGGCAGGUGCAUGGAGUAAUGGUAUAUGCUUCUUCCAAUAAAAUAAUCACUUUAGAAGGAAGUUCACUAUCGGGGAGCAAGGUUAAUGUUGACAAAGGAAGAGAAGGUAUGGGGCCUACAAAGCCUACGGAAUGUAUUUUGUAGCAAAAGUGUGAAAAUAACAUCUAAAGCAAAUCCAUAUUUUAUCUGAAAAUGUGCCUGAGUUUAAGAUGCCCCAUAAUAUUAUACAGUAC